rnacentral:rRNA from 1 species
AGCUACAGGCUUAACACAUGCAAGUCGAGGGGCAGCAUGGUCUUAGCUUGCUAAGGCCGAUGGCGACCGGCGCACGGGUGAGUAACACGUAUCCAACCUGCCGUCUACUCUUGGACAGCCUUCUGAAAGGAAGAUUAAUACAAGAUGGCAUCAUGAGUCCGCAUGUUCACAUGAUUAAAGGUAUUCCGGUAGACGAUGGGGAUGCGUUCCAUUAGAUAGUAGGCGGGGUAACGGCCCACCUAGUCUUCGAUGGAUAGGGGUUCUGAGAGGAAGGUCCCCCACAUUGGAACUGAGACACGGUCCAAACUCCUACGGGAGGCAGCAGUGAGGAAUAUUGGUCAAUGGGCGAGAGCCUGAACCAGCCAAGUAGCGUGAAGGAUGACUGCCCUAUGGGUUGUAAACUUCUUUUAUAAAGGAAUAAAGUCGGGUAUGGAUACCCGUUUGCAUGUACUUUAUGAAUAAGGAUCGGCUAACUCCGUGCCAGCAGCCGCGGUAAUACGGAGGAUCCGAGCGUUAUCCGGAUUUAUUGGGUUUAAAGGGAGCGUAGAUGGAUGUUUAAGUCAGUUGUGAAAGUUUGCGGCUCAACCGUAAAAUUGCAGUUGAUACUGGAUAUCUUGAGUGCAGUUGAGGCAGGCGGAAUUCGUGGUGUAGCGGUGAAAUGCUUAGAUAUCACGAGGAACUCCGAUUGCGAAGGCAGCCUGCUAAGCUGCAACUGACAUUGAGGCUCGAAAGUGUGGGUAUCAAACAGGAUUAGAUACCCUGGUAGUCCACACGGUAAACGAUGAAUACUCGCUGUUUGCGAUAUACGGCAAGCGGCCAAGCGAAAGCGUUAAGUAUUCCACCUGGGGAGUACGCCGGCAACGGUGAAACUCAAAGGAAUUGACGGGGGCCCGCACAAGCGGAGGAACAUGUGGUUUAAUUCGAUGAUACGCGAGGAACCUUACCCGGGCUUAAAUUGCAGAUGAAUUACGGUGAAAGCCGUAAGCCGCAAGGCAUCUGUGAAGGUGCUGCAUGGUUGUCGUCAGCUCGUGCCGUGAGGUGUCGGCUUAAGUGCCAUAACGAGCGCAACCCUUGUUGUCAGUUACUAACAGGUUCCGCUGAGGACUCUGACAAGACUGCCAUCGUAAGAUGUGAGGAAGGUGGGGAUGACGUCAAAUCAGCACGGCCCUUACGUCCGGGGCUACACACGUGUUACAAUGGGGGGUACAGAGGGCCGCUACCACGCGAGUGGAUGCCAAUCCCAAAAACCUCUCUCAGUUCGGACUGGAGUCUGCAACCCGACUCCACGAAGCUGGAUUCGCUAGUAAUCGCGCAUCAGCCACGGCGCGGUGAAUACGUUCCCGGGCCUUGUACACACCGCCCGUCAAGCCAUGGGAGCCGGGGGUACCUGAAGUGCGUAACCGCGAGGAGCGCCCUAGGGUAAAACUGGUGACUGGGGCUAAGUCAUAACAA